ACGGGAGGCAGCAGUGAGGAAUAUUGGUCAAUGGACGAGAGUCUGAACCAGCCAAGUAGCGUGCAGGAUGACGGCCCUAUGGGUUGUAAACUGCUUUUAUGUGAGAAUAAAAAGAGUCACGUGUGACUCAUUGCAUGUAUCACAUGAAUAAGGACCGGCUAAUUCCGUGCCAGCAGCCGCGGUAAUACGGAAGGUCCGGGCGUUAUCCGGAUUUAUUGGGUUUAAAGGGAGCGUAGGCGGCCUUUUAAGCGUGUUGUGAAAUGUCCCGGCUCAACCGUGGCACUGCAGCGCGAACUGGAGGGCUUGAGUGCGCCGGAAGUUGGCGGAAUUCGUCGUGUAGCGGUGAAAUGCUUAGAUAUGACGAAGAACUCCGAUUGCGAAGGCAGCUGACUGUAGCGUAACUGACGCUGAAGCUCGAAGGUGCGGGUAUCGAACAGGAUUAGAUACCCUGGUA
rnacentral:rRNA from 1 species